rnacentral:misc_RNA from 1 species
GUGGGAUUUCACAAACACCUCGUUCUUGGGGAAACGAACGUCCGUUGGAGAAGUGCAUCAAAAAGCAAGCAGUUGAUAAUGGAAGAAAAUUUGCGGAAUGGAAUUUCUGAAUAUUCGAAUGUUAAAUGCCGGUGUCAGAUCAGUGGCUCUCCGAAUGAAUCGAGGGUCCAUCUCACUAGCAAAGACAACGCAAACGACUCAAUUAGCUCAAUUCUUCUACGUUUGAAUUCGAAGGGUUGAUCGUUUCAUUUCUCACUCCUCUGCAUUUCAAUUUCUCUCCGGAUAGUUUACCUCUCAGUUCAUCGCGGAAGUGAUCUGGAGAAACUUUUUCUUUCGUUUUCG